AUGAACGCUGGCGGCGUGCCUAAUACAUGCAAGUCGAGCGAACGGACGAGAAGCUUGCUUCUCUGAUGUUAGCGGCGGACGGGUGAGUAACACGUGGAUAACCUACCUAUAAGACUGGGAUAACUUCGGGAAACCGGAGCUAAUACCGGAUAAUAUUUUGUACCGCAUGGUUCAAAAGUGAAAGACGGUCUUGCUGUCACUUAUAGAUGGAUCCGCGCUGCAUUAGCUAGUUGGUAAGGUAACGGCUUACCAAGGCAACGAUGCAUAGCCGACCUGAGAGGGUGAUCGGCCACACUGGAACUGAGACACGGUCCAGACUCCUACGGGAGGCAGCAGUAGGGAAUCUUCCGCAAUGGGCGAAAGCCUGACGGAGCAACGCCGCGUGAGUGAUGAAGGUCUUCGGAUCGUAAAACUCUGUUAUUAGGGAAGAACAUAUGUGUAAGUAACUGUGCACAUCUUGACGGUACCUAAUCAGAAAGCCACGGCUAACUACGUG
rnacentral:rRNA from 1 species